GACGAACGCUGGCGGCGUGCUUAACACAUGCAAGUCGAACGGAAAGGCCCAGCUUGCUGGGUGCUCGAGUGGCGAACGGGUGAGUAACACGUGGGUGAUCUGCCUCUAACUUCGGGAUAAGCUUGGGAAACUGGGUCUAAUACCGGAUAGGACAAUCGUUUAGUGUCGGUUGUGGAAAGUUUUUUCGGUUAGGGAUGAGCCCGCGGCCUAUCAGCUUGUUGGUGGGGUAAUGGCCUACCAAGGCGUCGACGGGUAGCCGGCCUGAGAGGGUGGACGGCCACAUUGGGACUGAGAUACGGCCCAGACGCCUACGGGAGGCAGCAGUGGGGAAUAUUGCACAAUGGGCGCAAGCCUGAUGCAGCGACGCCGCGUGGGGGAUGACGGCCUUCGGGUUGUAAACCUCUUUCGACAGGGACGAAGCUUUGGUGACGGUACCUGUAUAAGAAGCACCGGCUAACUACGUG
rnacentral:rRNA from 1 species